UACUGUUUCAGUUUGGACAAAGUUUUAUAUAGAGACAACACCUGAUUUAGGUGAAGCACUUACGGACGUAGCAUUGAGGGUUGUUUAUCGUGCCAAAGACUAGUUUACAUUGAGGGUUGUUUAUCGUGCCAAAGACUAGUUUACAUUGAGGGUUGUUUAUCGUGCCAAAGACUAGUUUGCAUUGAGGGUUGUUUAUCGUGCCAAAGACUAGUCUGCAUUGAGGGUUGUUUAUCGUGCCAAAGACUAGUUUGCAUUGAGGGUUGUUUAUCGUGCCAAAGACUAGUUUACAUUGAGGGUUGUUUAUCGUGCCAAAGACUAGUCUGCAUUGAGGGUUGUUUAUCGUGCCAAAGACUAGUUUACAUUGAGGGUUGUUUAUCGUGCCAAAGACUAGUCUGCAUUGAGGGUUGUUUAUCGUGCCAAAGACUAGUUUACAUUGAGGGUUGUUUAUCGUGCCAAAGACUAGUUUGCAUUGAGGGCUGUUUAUCGUGCCAAAGACUAGUUUACAUUGAGGGUUGUUUAUCAUGACCAAGACUAUGCUGGCACGACGUUGUAAAUUUCUGCUCGCUAUUAUCCAGUGUAAAAUUCCAAACAAACUUACAUGUAUGUGAGUGACGUGUGACUUUCACAGAAAUAAACAAAGUCCCAUUGAGCGCUUAGUUAAGGAACAAUCACUACCUAUAUAUUAAACAGUUUAGAUUUGACGCGGUACUGAGAUUUAAAUCAUUUAGUAAAUGUAACCAGUAAACAUUGUAUUGUUAAUUAAAACAAAACAUUAUAAACAUUUAGAGGCUAAAUCAAACGUCUGACAGCCUCGCAUAGUAAUAUUAAAUUAAUUAUCAUUUACUCCCUGUAUCAUAAAUAAAUAAAAUUAAUCACACUGUCCUAAUUCUACCCAAUGGAUAGAUAGAUUGAUUAAUUGAUUGAUUGAUGUUUUCCGCCACACUCAACAAUUUUUCAGUUAUCUGGUGGCGCCCAGUUUUUAUUGGUGGAAGAGAGAACCCAGAUACAAUGUACCUGGGAAGAGACCAUUGACCUUCCGCAAGUAAACUGGGAAACUUUCUCACCGGCGCGAGCGAUUUGAACCCGCACCGACAGAGGUGAGAGGCCGUGUGAUUUUUAGCGCGAUGCUCUAACCACUCGGCCACGGAUGCCCAUCCCAAUGGACAGAAAGAAAGAUAGAUAGAUAGAUAUCAAUUGACGGUUACACAUCCCCAGGUCAAUAUGGUUUACAACAUAAUACUAUACAGGUAAAUUAUUCCCCGCGUAUCGACCCGUAUCCUUCUGAUCACCUGUAGUACCACGGUGGCGGAUCUAGAGGGAGUUAACAAGUGGAAGUUGAAUUUUUGGAACUGAAUAAAUAUCUUAUUAAGAAAUCCCAAGCCAUUUUUUUUUUCAAAUUUAUAACAUGAUAUCGCAGUUAGAUAGGGAUGAAAUAGUCUGUAUCAUUGUGAUAAUCAUAAAACUACAUACUAAUAACUAUUACUGUAAAUUGUGUACAGCAAUCAGGACGGUCUUUUCUGUGUUCUGACAAUAAACUUAACACCUAAUCAGAAUUUUACAGACUUUUCUGUAUUCUGACAAUAAACUUAACACGCUAAUCAGAAUUUUACAGACUUUUCUGUAUUCUGACAAUAAACUUAACACGCUAAUCAGAAUUUUACAGACUUUUCUGUAUACUGACAAUAAACUUUUUACGCUCGGCAGAAUGUUACAGACUUUUCUGUUUUCUGACAAUAAACUUGACACGCUAAGCAGAUUUUUACAGACUUUUUCUGUUCACUGCCAAUAAACUUAACACGCUAAACAGAUUGAUUGAAUAUUGUUUUACGUCCCUCUCGAGAAUAUUGUACUCAUAUGGAGACGUCACCACUGCCGAUGAAGGGCUGCAACAUUUGGGCCUAUGCUCGGCGCUUAUGGUCAUUGAGCAGGGAGGGAUCUUUAUCGUGCGGUCUCAUCGGAAGCGGAAUUUUACAAACUUUUCUGUAUACUGACAAUAAACUUAACACGCUCGGCAGAAUUUUACAGACUUUUCUGAAUACUGACAAUAAACUUAACACGCUUGGCAUAAUUUUGCAGACUUUAGGAGAUUCUCACAUCUAUAAUACUUGUUUUUAUACCGAUUGUUAGGACGUUCUUGGCACGCUGAUUUUGACUACGGAUAACUCCGGGAUAUGGGGCUGACGGCGGGUGUGACCGGUCGACAGGGGAUGCUCACUCCUCCUAGAUUGAGUUGUGUGGAACAAUGAACCUCCGGAUAUAUAUGUACAUUUACACGUGUAGGAUUAAACUUCUGUGGUACUCGCGUAUGUGAGUUUAUCCU